GUGAAAAGUGGAGCGAGAAAUAAUAAGUGUUCGAAAUUAAUUAAUUAAUUAAAGAAAAUCCAUUAGUUCGGUUAAAAAAAGGUAGUGGCUGAGUCGAAAUAUACUUAUCCAAGAGGACCAACUUGGCGUGUGAGUCCUUGGUGCCGGCGAACCCCGAAAAAUGGCUCCGGCGAAAACUCGGCUAUGGAGUGUUUGGUUGGGCGUUCCUUCCUACCCCGCGGUACUGGCAUUUUAAAGCGUCGUCCACUCAUUUCACUACUAAUUCAUUGUCCACUGGACGGAAGAGAUAGGCAAAAUAGGGAGAGAGUUACAUACGUGGAACUUUUACAGCUGAAUAUCAGCACAGCAGCAGCAGUGGGUGCGGAGAAAAAGCGGCAGAAGGGGAGUAAUGCACCAGAACAUGUAAACGAAAAUGGUGUACACAUGUGUUGCUUCAGCAACAGCACAACAUGGGUCUAGUGCGCAGGACCUGCCUAAUGAACUCACAUUCUAGGGAAACCGACGAUGUGGACUUCAGUCCCGACAGCAAAUAUUUAACAACCAUUACGAAAGAUGGUCCUGGCUUGGGUUAGCUCUGGCGAGUAUGAAACCACAUCACCAACAUCCAAAUCGAAUAGCACAACAAAAGCCACAACGAUGAUGAAAAUAGAGUCAGCCACUAUGAGCUCAACAUAAUCUUAAAUAUUUCUAUUCAAGCCGGCUAAUUAUUUUAUUAAAGUUACUUUAUUUAAACAGCACAGAUAUAAUCAUAAUCAUUAUAAAAGUAUCUUUUAUUUAAUUAAUAUUUUCAUUUAACCACCGCUUAGAACUCAACUUUUAUGAAUCGUAAAAAAAUAAUAAUAAUAAAAAUUGAAACUCACGUUUGUAAACAAUAACUGUAACUUGUAACUCACCCGAAAACUCUGUCUUUUUAUGCACCCGUAUAUAAUAUUGUAUUAUUAUUGUAAAUAUAAAUAACUAAAAUAAACCAAACGUCUGAUUAAACUCCCUAGAAAAAU